ACAUGCCGACGAGAAUGAAUCUCAUACACGGUUACUAGAAGAAAAUGGCACAAUCAUGGAUGGUAUUAAUUAAGUGGAGACAAGAAAGUGGCAACUAAAACACACAACAAUCAGGAGGAUCGGGUCCUGUCUUGUCCUCGAAAGCACAGCACACACAAGAGAAAAGAGCAGCCUGGACCGGAUCGGACCACAUACAAGGAAGGAAAUGGACAAGACAUGCAUCAGAUCAUACACACCCGCACCGCACUCAUGGCUUCACUCCUUGCUGAAGCACCCGUUCGCCAUGACCUGCCCGAGGACGCAGGGAGCAAACAUCAUCGUGUUGAGAGGGCAGGCCUUCCCGAUCUGCACCAGGCAAGCGAUGCAUGCUGCAGGGCACAGCUUGGAGUGGAUGAUGUCCUCCAUCAGUGCGAGAACCUCAAGGCUCAGCUCGUCGGAUGGUAGGACGUCGUCAUUGCCGGCCUCGGCUAGCAUCACCAGCUGGCUGGUGAGCAGAAGAGCCAGGAGGAGCAUCACCACCACCUUCCGGUCAGCCAUCUUCUUACAGCUAGAGCGCGAGUUUGUGUGGCCUGGCUGAGUGGGUGUUUACUUGUGUGUUCUGCUAGCUGUGUGUUUGGGCGGGCGUGGGCGUGCUAUUUAUAGACAGAAUCUGAGGCUCCACGAUGCACAUAUAUGUGCUCUUCUUCUUCAUUCUUACUUUCUUCUUUGACUGUGUGUGUGCAGUGACCAACCUUGAAUGAGUUUUAAUUACUUGCUACGAUUUAAAAAUGGAUACCAGUUAGUGUCCACACAGCCCAGCCUAGCCAGUGCAAACAUACAUAUUUUCAUUAGCUACCUAGGCAGGCCUGAUGAACAAAUCUCUAAAUUGAUCGAUCAAAGGUAAUUCAGUGCGUUGCAUGAAAUCAAAGGUAACCCCCUCAAUUAUAGAGUAGUAGUUUCGGCGUGAUUACAUGAAUAUUAAGAAGAAGAAUCUAAAAAGUUGGGCAACAUAAAAAAAAAUCAUGAAUAUUAAAAAGUCAUCUCGUCCAUCUAAAAAAUCAUCAAGCUGAAUAAUAAUCUAAAAGGCACGGUCUCGCGGACGGACGGACGAACAAACCAAGUUACCAUGCAUGCAAGUUGCCACGAUCAAACCACAAGGCCAUGAACCAACCUUACCUGGUCUAAAGAGAGAGCUCUUUGAAGUUGGAAGCAGGCCAGGCACAUGACAUGCCCGCCCGCCCGCCCGCCCGCUAGGAAGGAUCACUAUCUUACUUACUUUUUUGGGGGAAGAGGAGCUUUGAUCUCGUCUUGUUGUUGCGAGAGGAGGGAGACCUAAGCUAGGAUGCGCCGGCCGUAUGACACAAGGGGAGGGCCGAGAGAGAGAGAGAGAUUUGCAAGUGCAGUGGUCACGGCUUGGGUACAAAACUGAGAGAGAGAGAGAGAGAGAGAGAGGGGGGGGAGGAUGGCGUUAGGCUUGGCUUAGGAUUGCACUACUAGUACUAGUACCUAGCUAGCUGGCUACUGUGUCCGGCCGGCAGCUAAGCUGAAUCGUUCACUCCGGAGACCCAACAUGAUCCAACGGCGCACAGCCCAGUGCAACAAGCACACGAUCCGUGUGCUCUCCUCUCAUUGGUCUAAAGUAUUUCUUUUCUUUUUUUCCUUCCUUAAGGUACAGUAAUGAAGCGAAGUUGGAUGCUUUGACAGUAACUUUUGUUCGGCCAAGCUGGAUGGUGGAUCCUAAUCUAGUCCACCAGGGACUUAUCUUACUUGGGCGUAAUCGGCUGUCAUGUUUGAUCCCCAGUCUCACUCAGGGCUCAUUCGAUUUCGAGGAAACUAAAACGUAGGAAUUACGAUUAGUAUAGGAAUGUGAUAGGGUGGCACUUGCCAUCCUAAGGAAUUGACUUGUCUCGUUCGUUCCUACGCGUAAAAUGAGCUUUAAGUGGAUGUGUAGUUUUCUCCAAAAACACAGAAAACGAGUAGUGUUCCUAUGAAUUUCUUGUACGCAUCUAAAUGCAUCUAUAGGAUCUUUUUUCUUCUCUGAAAUCCUUAUUCCUAUGUUUUUUCUAUAAAAAUCCUCCAAACCGAAUGAGGCCUCAUCAUGUAAAUAUGGCUGGUUACAUGUUGUAACAUUAAAAUCUAUUAUUACUAGCACAUUGACCAAACAUGCAUACAUAUACUCUACUAUUUGAGUUUACAACUAUCAUAGGCAGUGGUACAUCUAAUGAGAAUAUGUACGACUCACCCAUAGAAGGGAGCAUAAACAGGUGAGAUGAUGCAUUGCAGUUAUUAAUCCAAAAGCAAAGACAUGCUAACAUGAGUGCUUCAGUUUGACUCAAGAAAAGGGACCUCAUGAGGCCCCGACUAAGGAACCAAAUAAAAAACCAAGUCCUUCAGAGGCUUGGCAUCAUCCAUUUCCACAUCAGAAUUAGCAUGCAUCAUGCUUUUCUCUUGAUCUUCAUCUUGAUGUACCCAACACAAGUGCAACUUAGGCAAUAUAUGAUGACUGCUAGCAUGCUACUACUUCUGAAACCACAACUACAGCCAAUUGAACAUAUAAACCCUGAAGAAGUGGUAGUCACAACGAAGCUAGCCACGUCGCCUUUAAAUCGCUGCUGCCACCGCCUGUAAUUUUCAUUCCCCGCCGAGGGCAUCUUAGUAAUUUUCCCCCGCCGAGGGCAUCUUGGUAAUUUCACGUACAGAUGUAUAAAAGCCAGCUGCCUGUGGAGAAGACCUAGCCGCCCGCCACUCUCCUCUUUCUGCCGCCUCCACGCUCGCUUCCUCCUCCAUCCUCCCGCGUCAGUCGCACCCCCUCCUCCCCUCCCGCAUCUCGUCCACCCUGGGAUCCGGCGAGGUCGGGUCCUCGAGCCAUGGAGGCACUCGUCGCCGGUCCCUCGCAGUUGGCCUCCCGUGCGUCGCACCACCCCUCCUGCCGCCUCGGCUCUCUCCCCCCGCCUCGGCUCUCACCUCCAGCUGCAGCUCUAGAGGAGAGGAGAAGACAAAGACAGAGAGAUGGCCGCCGGUGCUGGCGCUGCUGCUGGCGUCGAUGCUGGCGGCCCCGCCGCCGACUGCUACUCCUCCACCGCCUCGCCUCUUCCUCCUCCUCGCCUUCCCAUCGCUCACGCGCAGGUCGCCCGACGGCAGGGAUGGUCAGGAAGGCUUCCCAGCCCGACGGUGCCGUCAUGGGAGCUGCAGGGCGGAGGUGAGGAUGCGUCGCUCGCGGAUUUGAUCGAGGGUGCCACGCCGCCGUCGCCGACUGGAUUUGCUCCUCCAUCGCCGCCGCGAGUCAACUCCACCGUUGUCGCCAGGAAUCCGUCCCCGGCAAGGUCUCCCUCGUUGCUCCUCCUCCUACAAUCUCUCCCACAAUGGUAUAGUACGGUGGUUUGAUUUGGUUCUUUUGGUGGUAUGUUCCCUACCGUCUCUCUUUUUUCAGUUUCUAACUUCGAUGCUUUGGUUUGUUGUUUUGUCCAGCAGGAGGAGCGGAAGGGGCCACGGAUGAGGAGGAAGGAGACUAGCAGGAGGAGGAGAUAUUCUUUUUCGAUUUGGUUCUCAUGCUGGCAUCUCCCUGCUGUCUGCUUUCCUUUUAGUUUCCAACUUUGAUGCUUGGAUUUGUUGUCUUGGCCAGCAGGAGUAGGAGGAGACAGGGAGGAUGAGGAAGGAGACAAGAAGGAGGAAGAGAAAAUCUUGCUUGCCUUAUGGACUCGCAAUAAACAGGUGUGUGUUGUGCUACUCAUGCCUUUUUUAAUCUCACUAACGACGGUGUUUUACUGGAUUGAAUCAGAGGAAGCUCAUAUUUGUUUCCUGGACAAUAUUUUCCUCAUGUGUUGCAUUCUGGAAAGGGUGUCUUUG
rnacentral:lncRNA from 1 species